rfam:Schistosoma rodhaini strain Burundi genome assembly, scaffold: SROB_scaffold0002451
AUCUAGCUGGCGAGUCUCAAAUAGAACGAAACACGCGUCAAACUGGAU